CGCGGCCUAUCAGCUUGUUGGUGAGGUAACGGCUCACCAAGGCAUCGACGGGUAGCUGGUCUGAGAGGACGAUCAGCCACACUGGGACUGAGACACGGCCCAGACUCCUACGGGAGGCAGCAGUAGGGAAUCGUGCGCAAUGGGCGAAAGCCUGACGCAGCAACGCCGCGUGGGGGAUGAAUGCCUUCGGGUUGUAAACCCCUUUCAGCAGGGACGAAAAUGACGGUACCUGCAGAAGAGGCUCCGGCCAACUACGUGCCAGCAGCCGCGGUAAUACGUAGGGAGCGAGCGUUGUCCGGAAUUAUUGGGCGUAAAGAGCUCGUAGGCGGUUCAGUAAGUCGGGUGUGAAAACUCAAGGCUCAACCUUGAGACGCCACUCGAUACUGCUGUGACUUGAGUCCGGUAGAGGAGUGUGGAAUUCCUGGUGUAGCGGUGAAAUGCGCAGAUAUCAGGAGGAACACCAGCGGCGAAGGCGGCACUCUGGGCCGGUACUGACGCUGAGGAGCGAAAGCAUGGGGAGCAAACAGGAUUAGAUACCCUGGUAGUCCAUGCCGUAAACGUUGGGCACUAGGUAUGGGAUCAUAUCAACGGAUUCCGUGCCGUAGCUAACGCAUUAAGUGCCCCGCCUGGGGAGUACGG
rnacentral:rRNA from 1 species